rnacentral:rRNA from 1 species
UACGUAGGGGGCAAGCGUUGUCCGGAAUCAUUGGGCGUAAAGAGCGUGUAGGCGGUUCGGUAAGUCCGCUGUAAAAGUCCAGGGCUCAACCCUGGAAAGCCGGUGGAAACUGUCGAACUAGAGUCCGGAAGAGGCGAGUGGAAUUCCUGGUGUAGCGGUGAAAUGCGUAGAUAUCAGGAGGAACACCGGUGGCGAAGGCGGCUACCUGGACAGAAACUGACGCUGAGGCACGAAAGCUAGGGGAGCAAACAGG